rnacentral:rRNA from 1 species
GACGAACGCUGGCGGCGUGCCUAAUACAUGCAAGUAGAACGCUGAGGAGAGGAGCUUGCUCUUCUUGGAUGAGUUGCGAACGGGUGAGUAACGCGUAGGUAACCUGCCUUGUAGCGGGGGAUAACUAUUGGAAACGAUAGCUAAUACCGCAUAACAAUGGAUGACACAUGUCAUUUAUUUGAAAGGGGCAAUUGCUCCACUACAAGAUGGACCUGCGUUGUAUUAGCUAGUAGGUGAGGUAAUGGCUCACCUAGGCGACGAUACAUAGCCGACCUGAGAGGGUGAUCGGCCACACUGGGACUGAGACACGGCCCAGACUCCUACGGGAGGCAGCAGUAGGGAAUCUUCGGCAAUGGGGGCAACCCUGACCGAGCAACGCCGCGUGAGUGAAGAAGGUUUUCGGAUCGUAAGCUCUGUUGUAAGUCAAGAACGGGUGUGAGAGUGGAAAGUUCACACUGUGACGGUAGCUUACCAGAAAGGGACGGCUAACUACGUG